rnacentral:lncRNA from 1 species
GCUAUACUAAAUUUUUCAAACGCAUGAUUUAAAUGAAGCAGGUUCAUGCUUAAGAUACAAUUAGUAAUCUUCAAAUGUGACUACUAGGUUCAUAAUGUAUACAUAAUAUGCCUAGCAGAAGAUCAGCUACCAUUUACACCUACGGAUCAAAUUGUAUUCGAAUUUGCUAGGAUAAUCACAUGACCCACAUACUACUUGUUACAUGAAUUACCUCAAGACCUCAUAAUAGUUGAAACCAAAACAGAUCUAAACUAACAGAUUCAGAAAGUAAAAACAACAACUGAUAGAAUUAUACAUCAAGGCCUAAUAACAGUCAAAACCAGAAUAGAUAUGAUCAAAUAGAUUUAGAGAGUAAAUAACAACUGAUAUAAUUAAAAUGCACGAGCUCCAACUCUUGAUUUCCAUUUCAUUUCCUAAAUUUCAUGACAAUCAGCCGAUUUUACAAAGGCAUGUACCUGUAUAUGACCAAAACAAUGGUAAAUUCGAGUCAGGAGUAGCCAAUGACAAGAAGUAGCAUGAGCAACAAUUAGCAGCAGUUUCGAAUUAAUUCCAACCAGGAAAUGUUAUUAAGUAACCCAGGAAGUGAUUUUAAUCGAAUAACACAAGUAAACAAACUCAAAAUCAGCUUGAAUGACCAAAUUGAAAUUCAGAAAUCAACUAGGAGCUUCUGAAACAUCAACUACUAAAUUACCAGGACAAUACAAACCAUUUUCCAAUCUUAUAUAAGCUGGAAAUUUGAUCAAACAGCUAGAACUCAAAAUUAUCCUAUGAAACUUCAAUGGAACAGUGUUUUUUUUGGAGUUUUUGGUUGCUUGAAGUUUCAGAACUUUUCAGUAUUUCUAAGUCUAAAUUUUUUGAAUUUUUUGAUCUCGCUAGGCUUCUCAAAUUUGUGAAGUCUAAAUUUUUCC